rnacentral:rRNA from 1 species
AACAGGAUUAGAUACCCUGGUAGUCCACGCCGUAAACGAUGUCGACUUGGAGGUUGUGCCCUUGAGGCGUGGCUUCCGGAGCUAACGCGUUAAGUCGACCGCCUGGGGAGUACGGCCGCAAGGUUAAAACUCAAAUGAAUUGACGGGGGCCCGCACAAGCGGUGGAGCAUGUGGUUUAAUUCGAUGCAACGCGAAGAACCUUACCUACUCUUGACAUCCAGAGAACUUUCCAGAGAUGGAUUGGUGCCUUCGGGAACUCUGAGACAGGUGCUGCAUGGCUGUCGUCAGCUCGUGUUGUGAAAUGUUGGGUUAAGUCCCGCAACGAGCGCAACCCUUAUCCUUUGUUGCCAGCGGUUAGGCCGGGAACUCAAAGGAGACUGCCAGUGAUAAACUGGAGGAAGGUGGGGAUGACGUCAAGUCAUCAUGGCCCUUACGAGUAGGGCUACACACGUGCUACAAUGGCGCAUACAAAGAGAAGCGACCUCGCGAGAGCAAGCGGACCUCAUAAAGUGCGUCGUAGUCCGGAUUGGAGUCUGCAACUCGACUCCAUGAAGUCGGAAUCGCUAGUAAUCGUGGAUCAGAAUGCCACGGUGAAUACGUUCCCGGGCCUUGUACACACCGCCCGUCACACCAUGGGAGUGGGUUGCAAAAGAAGUAGGUAGCUUAACCUUCGGGAGGGCGCUUACCACUUUGUGAUUCAUGACUGGGGCGAAGUCGUAACAAGGUAACC